rnacentral:rRNA from 2 species
GGUGAUAAUCGCGAAGAGGGUACACCCGUUCCCAUCCCGAACACGGAAGUUAAGCUCUUCCUCCCCGAUGAUACUGCGUGGGCAACUGCGUGGGAAAAUAGGAAAUCGCCG